rnacentral:rRNA from 1 species
UGGGCAAUCUGCCCUUCUCUUCGGAAUAAGCGUUGGAAACGACGUCUAAUGCCGAAUACGACCUCCUUUCGCAUGAUCGGAGGUGGAAAGCUCCGGCGGAGAAGGAUGAGCUCGCGGCCUAUCAGCUAGUUGGUGUGGGUAAUGGCCCACCAAGGCGACGACGGGUAGCCGGCCUGAGAGGGUGACCGGCCACACGUGGGACUGAGACACGGCCCAGACCUCCGUACGGGAGCAGC